UUGCAAGUGGUGUUCAUAGCUUAUAUGAAGCCAAGGAGCAUAUGGGAUGCGCAAUACCAGUGUUCCCGCCAUUUGCUU
rfam:Prosthecochloris aestuarii DSM 271, complete genome.